UGGCAUCUGUCAGCUGACCGACAAUAUAAGCACAGGUUGUGUUGACAAAGGUACAGAUAGUCUGACGUCUUCGCCAACCUAAGAACUUCUAUCUUACAAGGUCGCUUGAGCAGCGCCCCACAGCACCCGGAACGCCAUGAAUAUCCGGACGAUAUUUGUGCUCCUGUUGGUGGUUCUGCUAGGGGUGGCGUCCGUCGGCGGGCAGCUCAUCAACCGCGAACGCCGGAAGAGGCCCGGGGAGAGGCGCUUUGGUGCCACGAAUUAUGGCCAACACAGGUUCGGCAGAAAGGGAUAUGCCAAACUCGACCGUAAGUAGUUACAUGCACUGAGCAUCUAGUUGCUUGCACUGAGCAUCUAGAACUGAGGCUACUGAUACAGACUUCUCUACGAGGAAUUCUCAGUUUCUCCCUUGGGUCUUCUUCCCCUGCUUCCAGUGUCGAGCCAUGGCGUCUAUCUGCGCAUCAUCGCGUCUCUCUUGUUUGUUCUAAAUUAUUGCCUGUUUGCUCUCUGUGUUGUGUUUUUUUAUUUUAUGUUUUGAAUUUUGCCUAGAGCCUUUUACAUGUUAAGUAUUUCGUGCAAAUAUACUUUCACAAAAUGGCAAAAAAAUCCCGACGUCUUUCUUCACACCAAUGCUACUUCCUCAAAUCAGAAAUUGUUUCAAAGAGACUAAAGUUGAAUAGGACGAAGAUCUACAACUGAAGCAAAAGGAAUUAGUAUGGUUGAUCAAAAAAAUUCUGCCACUUUCUCAUGAAUGGUUAUUCAAACCUGAUACUAAUUUACACGAAGACCUGAACCAGCUAAAAGGAAAUACUACUAUGAGAUUCAGGGCUUCUGUAACACGGUUUUUUGGCAAUAACUUUUUAUCUAUGCAUUUCAUAGAUAUAACGCUUAUUCAGAAUACACAUUAUAUCUACACAUAAAUUUUGACUGUAUUCUGCAUUACGUAGGUUGAAUAAAUUUGGUACUUAUAAUGUAAAA